AUACGUAGGGGGCGAGCGUUGUCCGGAAUGACUGGGCGUAAAGGGCGUGUAGGCGGCCGACUAAGUCUGGAGUGAAAGUCCUGUUUUCAAGGUGGGACUAGCUUUGGAUACUGGUUGGCUUGAGUGCGGAAGAGGUAAGUGGAAUUCCCAGUGUAGCGGUGAAAUGCGUAGAGAUUGGGAGGAACACCAGUGGCGAAGGCGACUUACUGGGCCGUAACUGACGCUGAGGCGCGAAAGCGUGGGGAGCGAACAGGAUUAGAUACCCUGGUAGUCCACGCGGUAAACGAUGAAUGCUAGGUGUUGCGGGUAUCGACCCCUGCAGUGCCGGAGUCAACACAAUAAGCAUUCCGCCUGGGGAGUACGGCCGCAAGGUUGAAACUCAAAGGAAUUGACGGGG
rnacentral:rRNA from 1 species